AACACGUACGAGAGUAACUGCUCGUACCUUGACGGUACCUUAUUAGAAAGCCACGGCUAACUACGUGCCAGCAGCCGCGGUAAUACGUAGGUGGCAAGCGUUGUCCGGAAUUAUUGGGCGUAAAGCGCGCGCAGGCGGUUCUUUAAGUCUGAUGUGAAAGCCCACGGCUCAACCGUGGAGGGUCAUUGGAAACUGGAGAACUUGAGUACAGAAGAGGAAAGCGGAAUUCCACGUGUAGCGGUGAAAUGUGUAGAGAUGUGGAGGAACACCAGUGGCGAAGGCGGCUUUCUGGUCUGUAACUGACGCUGAGGCGCGAAAGCGUGGGGAGCAAACAGGAUUAGAUACCCUGGUAGUCCACGCCGUAAACGAUGAGUGCUAAGUGUUAGGGGGUUUCC
rnacentral:rRNA from 1 species